GUGUCAGCCGCCGCGGUAAUACAGAGGUCCCGAGCGUUGUUCGGAUUCACUGGGCGUAAAGGGUGCGUAGGUGGUUGGUUAAGUUUGAGGUGAAAGCUCCGAGCUCAACUCGGAAAAUGCCUUGAAGACUAUCUGACUAGAGGAUUGGAGGGGAGAUUGGAAUUCUCGGUGUAGCAGUGAAAUGCGUAGAUAUCGAGAGGAACACCAGUGGCGAAGGCGAAUCUCUGGACAAUUCCUGACACUGAGGCACGAAAGCCAAGGGAGCAAACGGGAUUAGAUACCCCCGUAGUCC
rnacentral:rRNA from 1 species